UACGGAGGGUGCAAGCGUUAUCCGGAUUUACUGGGUUUAAAGGGUGUGUAGGCGGGUCUUUAAGUCAGUGGUGAAAUCUCCGAGCUUAACUUGGAAACUGCCAUUGAUACUAUUUGUCUUGAAUACUGUGGAGGUCAGCGGAAUAUGUCAUGUAGCGGUGAAAUGCUUAGAUAUGACAUAGAACACCAAUUGCGAAGGCAGCUGGCUACACAAAUAUUGACACUGAGGCACGAAAGCGUGGGGAUCAAACAGG
rnacentral:rRNA from 1 species